AUUGAACGCUGGCGGCAGGCCUAACACAUGCAAGUCGGGCGGUAACAGGGAGAAGCUUGCUUCUCUGCUGACGAGCGGCGGACGGGUGAGUAAUGUAUGGGGAUCUGCCUGAUGGAGGGGGAUAACUACUGGAAACGGUAGCUAAUACCGCAUAAUGUCUCCGGACCAAAGCGGGGGACCUUCGGGCCUCGCACCAUCAGAUGAACCCAUAUGGGGAUUAGCUAGUAGGUGAGGGUAAACGGGCUUACCUAGGCGACGAUCCCUAGCUGGUCUGAGAGGAUGAUCAGCCACACUGGGACUGAGACACGGCCCAGACUCCUACGGGAGGCAGCAGUGGGGGAAUAUUGCACAAUGGGCGCAAGCCCUGAUGCAGCCAUGCCGCGUGUAUGAAGAAGGCCUUCGGGUUGUAAAGUACUUUCAGUCGGGAGGAAGGUGUUAAGGUUAAUAACCUUGACAAUUGACGUUACCGACAGAAGAAGCACCGGGCUAACUCCGUGCCCAGCAGCCGCGGGUAAAUA
rnacentral:rRNA from 1 species